UUUAUCGCUUUGAAAUCACGUUCAAGAAGUCUCAUUCAGCACACAUCGCGAUACUUGCCAUCAGUUUACAAGAGCCGCAGGUUGGGUGAGUUAUACAGUCUAUGCUGAAAAGACAUAAAGGAAGCAGUCACCCCAGUGGUGUUUGUGGAGAGGUAUUCCUUCAGAAAUGGAGAAGACAGAAAGCUGCAGAGGCAGGAUUGUUUGCAGAUAAUGCUGUUCUUCUUUUUCAGAAGUUUUUGGUGAGCCAACUCUCACAAACCUUCCUAAAAACUAAAAGAGCUAUUACUGAGUCUCGGCUAAUCUUGCCAUGGUCAGCUCUUCCCAGAAGAGAAGGAAGACCAAGGAAAUUAUUUGCUCAGGAUGAGAAAUGAAGAUGGCCAUCUUGUGCUCAAACAAACAGAAGUCCUCUGAUGAUCUCAUCAGCCAAAUGAGGGGUUUUGACCAAGUGAUGCUCUUGAAAGGAGUGAAAGAAGAGGAUGUGGUAAAUUGUCUUAAAGCAGCUUGAAGAAUGGUCUGGGAUGUUAGGACUGAGAGAUCCUCUGACUGAGAGAAGCUACACCACAUCAGUGCUGGAUAUCAACCACAAACUGUUUCCAGACACGAGAGAAGAAGAUCAUGAUGGGGAGAUGAAACCAGUUUAGAUGUGAUGAUAAGGAAUCAUUAUUUUCUGAAACAGGAUCAAAUGUCUUAUAUGUAUCACAUGAUCUGUAUCACAGUUGACUGGAUGGGACUGUGUGACUCUUUAAGUACAUUUCAUCACUCAUCUGUGUGAACUGAUUAAUAUAUGAGGUUAAUGUAUUUUUGAUUAUGAAUAAUUAUUUUCCUUGAAUCUUAUUUGUCUUGAUGCUACUUUAUCAUCUGUAUAGUCUAUGCUUCAAUAAAAUGAAAAUUGUGAA
ensembl:lncRNA